UUGGACCUCAGAUCAGGCGAGAUCACCCGCUGAGUUUAAGCAUAUCACUAAGCGGAGGAAAAGAAACUAACGAGGAUUUCCCUAGUAACGGCGAGCGAACCGGAAGUAGCCCAGCUUGA
rnacentral:rRNA from 1 species